rnacentral:ncRNA from 1 species
AUAAAAUAUCUAAAAUCUAAAAUAAGCAGGACAGUGGCCAUGGAAGUCGGAAUCAGCCAGGGAGUGUGUAACAGCUCACCUACUGAAUCAACUAGUCCUGAAAAUGGUUGACACUGGA